AAGAGACAAUUGCGCAUCGCGUCCCGCAGGCGUGGUGCGGCCAGCCUGGGUGGCAUAAAAGGCGCGGGAAGUCAGGUCCCGCUCUCACUCCCUCUCCCGACCAGGUCCAAGAUUCACGAAGCGCCCACCCUCCUCCCCCUUUCUGCUGGCUGCCAGUUCUCACGGUUCUGACUACGUCAGUCGUUGGUCCUCACGUUUUCCUCCCGUUUCACUGGGGAUGGGUGGGGGGGGGGGGUGCAGCGCCCGUCCCCAAGUGUUCCGCUGUCCGCAGCUACUACUUUGACUUUACAGACAUUCUACUAGUAAGCCCUACCUUGUCAGCUCUCCAGCCCAGGGUGUCGACUGCCUAGUCUUCAACUGCCUCCCAACAUGGUAGCGAGGUCCUGAGCUGAUGUACCCUAUGGCGAAGAUUGAGGAAGUAGUUUCCUGAAGUAAUGAAUGGCACUUUAUAACCAGCAGCCGGCACCAGCUCUGGACAACGUCGGAGUGGACAAGGCCCAGAUCCCGUGGGGAGGAAGGUCUACACUAACAUGUAAAAGAACAUAGAUUGGAAAGUCCUAAACUACAUUCCUGGAGUUUGAAGGUGUUGAUUGACAUUCAGAAUCAGAUUACAAUGGUAUCAAAGCAUUGACUGACUUGAAGUGUGGCUGUUCUACUCUGCACAUCUAUGAAGCUGGUUGUGGAGGGUCCUUCCAACAUAAUUUCAGGGAUGGUGUACAGAACAAUUGGUGAAAGUUAUGCUACAGAAAAUAGCAGUUGUGAGAAUUAGUUGGUAAAAAAUAUGGAUUGGGAAGUGCUGAAUUACAUCCUGGACUUUGAAAGUGUUGAAUGCUUGACAUUCAGAAUAAGGUGCUAAUGAAGAUUACAAUGGUACCAAAGCAGUGAGGCUAUUCUACUUCACACAUCCAAUAAACUGGUGGAUGUUGUCCUUGUUACUCUGGAGUUUUCCCUGUCCUUUUGGAGUCUUCAGUGGAUUGCAUCUAGGAGGAGCAGCUUCCCACAACCUGAAAUGGACAAUAUUAGAUGAUACACUGUAUACUAUGCAAUAAAUAUUCUAAUGAAACUA